GACGAACGCUGGCGGCGCGCCUAACACAUGCAAGUCGAACGAGAGAGAAGGAGCUUGCUUCUUCGAUCGAGUGGCGAACGGGUGAGUAACGCGUGAGGAACCUGCCUCAAAGAGGGGGACAACAGUUGGAAACGACUGCUAAUACCGCAUAAGCCCACGGGUCGGCAUCGAUCUGAGGGAAAAGGAGUGAUCCGCUUUGAGAUGGCCUCGCGUCCGAUUAGCUGGUUGGUGAGGUAAUGGCCCACCAAGGCGACGAUCGGUAGCCGGACUGAGAGGUUGAACGGCCACAUUGGGACUGAGACACGGCCCAGACUCCUACGGGAGGCAGCAGUGGGGAAUAUUGCACAAUGGGGGAAACCCUGAUGCAGCGACGCCGCGUGGAGGAAGAAGGUCUUCGGAUUGUAAACUCCUGUUGUUGAGGAAGAUAAUGACGGUACUCAACAAGGAAGUGACGGCUAACUACGUGCCAGCAGCCGCGGUAAAACGUAGGUCACAAGCGUUGUCCGGAAUUACUGGGUGUAAAGGGAGCGCAGGCGGGAAGACAAGUUGGAAGUGAAAUCUAUGGGCUCAACCCAUAAACUGCUUUCAAAACUGUUUUUCUUGAGUAGUGCAGAGGUAGGCGGAAUUCCCGGUGUAGCGGUGGAAUGCGUAGAUAUCGGGAGGAACACCAGUGGCGAAGGCGGCCUACUGGGCACCAACUGACGCUGAGGCUCGAAAGUGUGGGUAGCAAACAGGAUUAGAUACCCUGGUAGUCCACACCGUAAACG
rnacentral:rRNA from 1 species